UCACGCUUGUGGGCCACAUGCAAAGUUGCCACUGUACAAAUCCUACCCUGGCUGUUGUCCCUGUCCCUUGGUGGUACGUAGUAGUAGGAACAGGAGAGGGAGUCAGGUGUGGAGAGAAGUCUGGAUUGGCCUGGUGAACUCCAGCGGAGAUCAUAGCCUGAGUUUUGUCCAUGUAAGCUUUGUCCCCGGGCUCUAGUUGGUGGAAUGUGCUAGUGCCCGAAAUAUGGAUGAAAAGAGUUUCUUUGACCGUGGUGCAGAUUUCCCAGCAUCUUGACAAAUUCCCGUUCGAGACAAAAUUGUUCAGGGAGUGGAAUUGGUGGGUACUUCAACUGGAGGCCUUGUUCCUAAUUAAGAAAAAUGCCCUCUUUGGGGGUGCCGAUUUAGGGGGAAAAAGUUGUCCUGCUGCACUGUUGCCUCUCCCAGCCCCCUUGGCAUAGGCAUCGAAAAAUAAGUGAAGUGGAAAUCUCCAUAGUAUUUUGUGGUCAUAAACCAUCCACGGAAGUGAGCUGGAGCCGUGGGAUGCAGAAAAGCUUGCCCAGCUGGCUGCUUUGCACCCACCUUGGAGGGGACAGACUUUGGAAUGUAGGACAUAAGUCAGUUGGAAGUCAGUAGCCUGCCAGCAUCGGUGGCCUCCAGUUCCCUCAUCAGGCUGUGGCUGGCCAGGUGUUAGGGAUUUUUUUUAGGUAAUUGUUUGGUCCUUCAUUUCUUUGGGAGAAGUGAAUGAUUGAUUUUUCCAGGGGUGGGGGUAGUUACUUUACAAAAAAAAAAAAAAGAUUGAACUAAGUACUAGGCUGGGCUAGCCUGUCCUCCAGCAGCCGAUUUCCGCUUUGAUUUAAACAGAUGCAUUUAGCAAAAGCAAGUGAUUUAGUUGAAGGCUUUGAGAUUCUGCUGUGUCUCCUGGCAGACACCUCCCUCCUGGCCCCAACACCACACCCGUUUCCAUCCUUGGAGGACGGGUACCUCAAGGAUUCUCAAGAGGAAGUGACUGGAUGGCCAGGCUUGUUUGUGCUAGAACCUUCUUCAGGAAGCGGCUAAAUGCAAGGUGGAAAGCUGAUGGGAGGAGGAUUUUAGCCAAACCCCCAGGGAGAGCCAUGCUGGACUCAGGUACUGCUUGCUGUGAGGAAACUUCAUUCCCUCAACUCUUAAGUAAAUUGCAACCCUGUGAAUAAUUAACCUCGCCCUUCUAGGUUUUGUUUUUAAAAUAAAAUCCCAACUUAUUAAAGAUUAAAGAUCAGUUUUUGCCUAGCAGGAUAGGAAUGAUAAAAGAUAUAUUGGGAGAAGCUAGUCCCUUGGUCUCUACCAUCAAGUCUCCUGCAUGGCACAGAGAUGUCACCAAGACUCAAAGCAACAGUCUUGUGUGCCUGCUGAGGCUGGGCUGGUGGCUUGUCGAAUGAGGAAUAAGCAUCGCGGAGCCUGCCACAGCAAGUCACCCCAGAUCUCAAGGACCUCACGUCAGCAGGGGAUAGUCGUCUUCAAGAUGUCUUCAGGUCCCCAGGAGCCAGCUUGGAAACAUUCGUCAUCCACAAGAUGGUGUCAGUGCUUGGCUUAUGGUGGACGACCAUGAUUGUGCCGCCAGCCCUGGAUCUGUGGGCUCUGUGCCCCCACCUCUGCUAGAGACUGCUGGUGUCUCACGGGUAAAGGUUAGACAGGAUUUACUCUCGCUGGUGGAAGGUGAGUGAGGCUUGGUGAACUGAGACUCUCACACUCGGGACGGACAAGGGCGACCGCUGUUCCAUCAGCUCUAACAGCUUUGCUGGCUCUUCCUAACUUUAGUCUCCACCUCCCCUGGAGCCUCUUUGCUCGUGCUGGUCCCUGCCCCAGACCUCCUUGUUCCUUCCCAUGGUCCUCAUUCUUUACCAAAGCGUUUCCCACAGUACAGGGCUGGGGAGUUGGCUCAGUCAGUAAAGUGCUUGUCACACGUUCCAUUCUGGACAUCACUCACCUGUGACUCAGGUGACAAGGCAGAGACGGCUCUGUGGGACUGGCCACCCACCCAGUUCAGCCGAAUCCAGGUUCAGUGAGACACCCCGUCUAAGAGGAUUGAGGAAGGCACCUUGAGGUGGACCUCUGACCUCCACACACAUGAACACAAUGUGUUGAAUACAAGACUGGGUCUCACUAUGUAGACCAGGCUGGCCUCCAGCUCACAGAGAUCCCACCUGCCUCUCCCUCUCAAGUGCUGUCAAAUACCGUAGAGUAUUUGAAAAUAUGAGAAUUGCUCUCCAAUGCUGUCGAGCAUCAGAGGGAGGAACGAGGCUCAUAAAUGCCCGUACCUGAAUUGUCUGUUGUGAGCCAUGCCUGCACACUUUCCUUCUGGCCUUACUGCAUUAUCAGAAUGGGGACUUUUACUUGUGGAGGAGGGGCACGUGCCAAGGGGCACACGUGGGGGCCAAAGGACUACCAGGGAUAAACUUAGACCGUCAGGUUUGUUGGCGAGGGCCUUUACUUGCUGAGCCAUCUUGCCAGCACCUUUUGAAAAUGUAUUACUGUGUUCUCUUACCUUCAUAUGGGUUCCUGGGAAUGAACUCAGUUGUCAGCCUUACAGGGCAAGCACCUUUACCCACUGAGCCAGAGGGGGACUUUUUAAUGGGAGCCAGGCCUCUCACCCAGUGAGCCACCGGGCUGUGCCCCUGGAAGCCUGGAUUUCUCUCCCCACCUCCCAAGGAGAAUACAGAUAUUUCUGGCCAGGAACUCAGAGGUCUUGCAGUCUUGCUGAAGGGAGCCUGAGGGGAGGUCCUCAGUGAGGAUGUCCUUGACUGGCAGCUCUGGCAGGCUUUUUGACCCUUGAAUCACUCACUUAAGGCAGCGGUUCUCGACCUUCCUCAUGCUGUAAUCCUUUAAAUACAGCUCUCCAUGUUGUGGUGACCCCCCAGCCUAAAAUCAUUUCGUUGCUACUUCAUAGCUGUAAUUUUGCUACUGCUGUGAUUGUAAUGUGAAUACGCAGGGUACCUGAUAUGUGACCCCCCCAAAGGGGUUGUGACCCCCAGGUUGAGAACGGCUGACUUGAGUGUGGAAGGCCGUGACUGGGUGUCUGUUGACGCAAACUAGAUCAGAGUUGGGGGGAUCAAGAGGAGCCUGGGGUGGGCGCCCUGACUUGCUGUUGACUUUUUCUUGCCUGCCUUUGUGUGUUGUUUAGCAGCCGGGAGGAACCACCAGGCUACAGGCCCGCCAGAGGCGACGGAAGACAUUCCCUCCAACUCUUCCGGGAGAACCCCUUGGAGGGUGGAACCAUUUGCCUUUGGCAGAUGAAGGUGAUCAGGGUACUUACUGAGGGCACACCAAGGAAAUGGCAGAGCCGGGAUUCACAUCUGCACUUCUGACUCCAAGAUCAGCGGCAUUUCUGUAAUAACCGUGGAGGACACUUGAGCCGGGAAUGCUGGUCCCUUGAGGGUAGUUACACUGCCGGACACUGAUGUGACAUUUGGGUCUUCACAUGGUGGAUGAGGUCUUAUACCAUUGAUUCUACAAGAUGACCUUUCCUGACAAUUUCUUCUCUGGCCUCUGGCCCUGGCUGAACCCAAGGCUGGUGGACCUGGAUUGAGCUGCAGUCCUUGUCUCUGCCCUGCGUUCCCUGAGCUUUGGAUCACUGAAGCCCAGGAUAUAAGGAGGUGUCCUUCCCAUUGGAGGUUCAAGUUCAGACUCCCGCAGCUGCAGGGCUCUUCCUUAGGCCCCUGGCUUUUCUGCACAGCUUCCCCAUGCCCUGCCAUGUCUUGGGGACAGGCACUCAGCAGCUUUCUGGUUCGCCUAAGUGCUGGAGAAGCCAUACUACCCUGUCACCCGAUUUUUUUAGAAUUUAUUUUUUAGUCCUGGAGUUUGAACUAUGGACUUUUAGACAUGCUAGACAAGUGUUCUACCACUGAGCUAUAUGCCCAGUCCUUUUUUGAUUUGAGACAGAAUCUUAGGUCAUCCAGCCUAGGCUUGAACUCAGUCCUUUUGCCUGUAUCUCGAGAGCGCUGGCAUUAUAGCUGAGUGCCACCGUGCCCACCUGGCUUUCUUGUUUUGACUCCUGUGUCAGGAAAGCAACCCUGGCUGGAGGUGGGGUCCAUUCCUGAUGAGUUGGCCAUGGUAGAGCUGUCUAGACAUAGGAGUGGGUAAUAGCAUGGUAGAGGGACGGGUAGCUGUCAGCUUUUCAUGGACCUUGUUUCUAUUGGUAUUUUGUUCCUUCAAAGGUCAUGCUUUACUCUGUAUCAUCAGGGUUCAGGUAGGGCCAGCUCCCCCCACUCCCUGGUUCUAGAGGUAGGCAUAUGUCCCAGACCUGGGUAAAGACUGCAGAGUUGUCCCCCCCCCUCCUCCUGAUCCCCAUCAUGGGACUUCAGCUGUAUCUUUUCAUGGGAGUUAAGAUGUCAGCUUGGAAUUGCUGGUGGCCAGUUUAUGCAACUGAGGAUGAAGCCAACAAAGAAGAAAGAAAACACAGGUUAUGCCGUGUGGACUUGUUCCUUGAUACCCUGGAUAAGCCCCUGGAUCAAGCCAUGCCUGAAGCCAACAUUUGUGCUAACCUGAUUAUAUGAACCUAUGGAUUUGUUUUUUCUUCCAAAACAAACCCAUUUUGGGUUUGUGUUACAGAAAGCUUCCUAGUUCAGGCAAUGAUUUCCUCCCUUCCUCUCAGAACAGCAUCGUUGAGAUGUUCUUUCUUUCCAUGAAGCAGAAGUGUACCAUUCCUAGUCUUUACAGGAACAAACACCUUUGUAACUAUCACCACCAGACUGAAAUCUUACUUACCUGCCCUGGAAAGCUCUCUUGAUCGAUCUCCUUGAUGGUUAGUCCUCCAGCCCUGGCCUACCGCUGACCUGUUUUUCUAGUGAUUCUUGUCUUUUCUGGAUCAUCCCAUGGUGUAUAUCAUGAGUCUAGUUUCUCUUAGUGUAUUUUCAUUGUUCAUUCCUCCAUGUGCAUUAGGGUCCAUCCAUCCACUCCAUUGUAGGCCGGGUGCCAUCAUGCCCUGUGGGUACACUACCAUUUGUUUAUCCAUCUGGCAUACAAAGACUGUCUUCAGAUUUUGGUUGAUAUGAAUAAAGAUGUUUUGCAUCUUCAAAUAUCA